rnacentral:rRNA from 1 species
AGUGAACGCUGGCGGUAGGCCUAACACAUGCAAGUCGAACGGCAGCACAGUAAGAGCUUGCUCUUACGGGUGGCGAGUGGCGGACGGGUGAGGAAUACAUCGGAAUCUACUUUUUCGUGGGGGAUAACGUAGGGAAACUUACGCUAAUACCGCAUACGACCUACGGGUGAAAGCAGGGGAUCUUCGGACCUUGCGCGAUUGAAUGAGCCGAUGUCGGAUUAGCUAGUUGGCGGGGUAAAGGCCCACCAAGGCGACGAUCCGUAGCUGGUCUGAGAGGAUGAUCAGCCACACUGGAACUGAGACACGUUCCAGACUCCUACGGGAGGCAGCAGUGGGGAAUAUUGGACAAGGGGCGCAAGCCUGAUCCAGCCAUACCGCGUGGGUGAAGAAGGCCUUCGGGUUGUAAAGCCCUUUUGUUGGGAAAGAAAAGCAGCAGGUUAAUACCCCGCUGUUCUGACGGUACCCAAAGAAUAAGCACCGGCUAACUUCGUG